UGGUGGAGUGAUUUGUCUGGUUAAUUCCGUUAACGAACGAGACCUCGACCUACUAAAUAGUUCGGGGAAUGCUUGCAUUCGCUUCCGCACUUCUUAGAGGGACUAUCGGUGUUAUAGCCGAUGGAAGUUCGAGGCAAUAACA
rnacentral:rRNA from 1 species